rnacentral:rRNA from 1 species
AUACGGGGGGUGCAAGCGUUAAUCGGAAUUACUGGGCGUAAAGCACGCGUAGGCGGUUUGCUCAGUCGGAUGUGAAAGCCCAGGGCUCAACCUUGGAACUGCAUACGAUACUGGCAAACUAGAGUGUGAGAGAGGAUAGUGGAAUUUCCGGUGUAGCGGUGAAAUGCGUAGAUAUCGGAAGGAACAUCAGUGGCGAAGGCGACUGUCUGGCUCAACACUGACGCUGAGGUGCGAAAGCGUGGGUAGCAAACAGGAUUAGAAACCCUAGUAGUCC